UACAGAGACUGCAAGCGUUUAUUCGGAUUCACUGGGCGUAAAGGGUGCGCAGGCGGCCAAGUGUGUUAGGCGUGAAAGCCCGGGGCUUAACCCCGGAAUUGCACCUAAAACUACAUGGCUAGAGCAUUGGAGAGGGUAGCAGAAUUCAUGGUGUAGCAGUGAAAUGCGUAGAUAUCAAUGAGGAAUACCAGAGGCGAAGGCGGCUACCUGGACAAUUGCUGACGCUCAGGCAACGAAAGCCGUGGGGGAGCAAAAGGG
rnacentral:rRNA from 1 species